rnacentral:lncRNA from 1 species
UUUCUAUUUCCUUAUUCGAUUUUCAUUUCCUUAUUAUGUUUCUAUUUCCUUUUUCAAUUUUCAUUUCCUUAUUCGGUUUCUAUUUCCUUAUUCGAUUUUCAUUUCCUUAUUCCGUUUCUAUUUCCUUAUUCGAUUUUCAUUUCCUUAUUCGGUUUCUAUUUCCUUUUUCAAUUUUCAUUUCCUUAUUCGGUUUCUAUUUCCUUAUUCGAUUUUCAUUUCCUUGUUCGGUUUCUAUUUCCUUUUUCGAUUAUCAUUUCCUUAUUCGGUUUCUAUUUCCUUAUUCGAUUUUCAUUUCCUUAUUCGGUUUCCUUUUUCCUUUUUCGAUAUUCAAAUUU